rnacentral:rRNA from 1 species
UACGUAGGGUGCAAGCGUUGUCCGGAAUUAUUGGGCGUAAAGAGCUCGUAGGCGGUUUGUCGCGUCUGCUGUGAAAACUCGGGGCUUAACUCCGGGCCUGCAGUGGGUACGGGCAGACUAGAGUGCGGUAGGGGAGACUGGAAUUCCUGGUGUAGCGGUGAAAUGCGCAGAUAUCAGGAGGAACACCGGUGGCGAAGGCGGUCUGCUGGGCAGUUGCUGACACUGAGGCGCGACAGCGUGGGGAGCAAACAGG